rnacentral:rRNA from 1 species
UACGUAGGGUGCAAGCGUUAAUCGGAAUUACUGGGCGUAAAGCGUGCGCAGGCGGCGCGUUAAGACAGGUGUGAAAGCCCCGAGCUUAACUUGGGAAUUGCGCUUGUGACUGGCGUGCUGGAGUGUGGCAGAGGGAGAUGGAAUUCCACGUGUAGCAGUGAAAUGCGUAGAGAUGUGGAGGAACACCGAUGGCGAAGGCAGCCUCCUGGGCCAGCACUGACGCUCAUGCACGAAAGCGUGGGGAGCAAACAGG